CAGGUCCCCACUAGAUUAGCUAGACACAGAGUACUGAUUGGUGCAUUCACAAACCCUGAGCUAGACACAGGGUGCUGAUUGGUGCAUUUACAAACCUUGAGCUAGACACAGAGCGCUGAUUGGUGCAUUCACAACCCCUUAGCUAGACAUAAAGGUUCUCCAAGUCCCCACUAGACUCAGGAGCCCAGCUGGCUUCACCCAGUGGAUCCCGCACCGGGGAGCUGGUGGAGCUGUGGGUCAGUCCCGUGAGGUGCGCUGGCACUCCUCAGCCCUUGGGUGGUCGAUGGGACUGGGUGCCGUGGAGCAGGGGGCGACGCUUGUCCGGGAGGCUUGGUUGGUGCAGGAGCCCACGGCGUGGGGGAGGCUCAGGCAUGGCGGGCUGCGGGUCCCGAGCCCUGCCCCGCGGGGAGGCAUCUGAGGCCAGGUGAGAAUUUGAGCGCCUGCCGGCACUGCUGGGGGACCCGGCGCACCCUCCGCAGCUGCCGGCCCGGGUGCUAAGCCUUACUUCACUGCCCCGGGCGGGCGGCUCCGCCGGCUGCUCUGAGUGCUGGGCCGCGGAGCCCACGCCCACCCGGAACUCGCGCUGGCCCGGAAGCGCCGCGCGCAGCCUCGGUUCCCGCCCGUGCCUCUCCCUCCACACCUCCCCGCAACUGAGGGAGCCGGCUCCGGCCUCGGCCAGCCCAGAAAGGGGCUCACACAGUGCAGGGCCGGGCUGAAGGGCUCCUUAAGGGCGGCCAGAGUUGGCGCCAAGGCUGAGGAGGUGCCCAGAGCGAGCGAGGGCUGCCAGGGCUGCUAGCAGGCUGUCACCUCUCAAUAGCAGUUUUGUAUAUGGGAUCUAGCCCCUCCCUAAGAGGUUGAUUCUAAGGAAGCCAACAGCCGUGUUGUGAGUACCCAAUGGAAAGUCUGUUGUGGCAGAAAACUGAUGUCUCCAGCCAACAGCACUGAGGCCCUGAGACCUGCCAACUGUCAUGAUCUUCCGAUGCCUGGACACAGAAAGAGCAGUGGAAGGGGUCGUUGCAUGAGCAAAGACAAAGAGUGGGACACUGACUGUUACAUCUCAAGGAGAAGGAUUGCCAGAUCAAAAGUCUUGCAGUUAACCAGGCGUGGUGGCAGAUACCUGUAAUCCCAGCUAUUCGGGAGGCUGAGGCAGGAGAAUCGCUUGUACCCGGGAGGCAGAGGUUGCAGUGAGCUGAGACCGCGCCAUUGACUCCUGCCUGAUGACAAGAGAGAAUCUACGUCUCAACAACAACAACACGCUUGGGCACUGUAUUAACUCCAUAAUCGGUUUAUUCAUAAUGCUGCAUCAUCCAACCAUCAUCCAACCUAUUUAUCAUUCACAAUGCCACCUGUGAAUACUGGCUUCCAUUGACUCUUUCAAGAAUUGCUACUGGGCCUCACCAAUGUUGACCACAAAUGCAAGUCAUACUGAGA
rnacentral:lncRNA from 1 species